AGGACGAACGCUGGCGGCGUGCUUAACACAUGCAAGUCGAGCGGAAAGGCCCUUCGGGGUACUCGAGCGGCGAACGGGUGAGUAACACGUGAGCAACCUGCCCUUAGCUUCGGGAUAGCUCCGGGAAACCGGAAUUAAUACCGAAUAUGACUUUGGCUGACAUCAGCAGAAGUGGAAAGUUUUUCGGCUAGGGAUGGACUCGCGGCCUAUCAGCUAGUUGGUGAGGUAACGGCCCACCAAGGCGACGACGGGUAGCCGGCCUGAGAGGGCGACCGGCCACACUGGGACUGAGACACGGCCCAGACUCCUACGGGAGGCAGCAGUGGGGAAUAUUGCGCAAUGGGCGAAAGCCUGACGCAGCGACGCGCGUGGGGGAUGAAUGCCUUCGGGUUGUAAACCCUUUCAGCAGGGACGAAGCGAAAGUGACGGUACCUGCAGAAGAAGCGCCGGCUAACUACGCGCCAGCAGCCGC
rnacentral:rRNA from 1 species